ensembl:lncRNA
AAAAGCAACAUCUGAAAGAAAAAAAAAAAAUCAACCAGCAGACUUUUCUUUCCUGAGCCUGUGAUAUCAUUGUAAAGUAAAACAGAAGCUAGGUGUGGUGGUUUGAAUGAGAACGUCCUCGAAGGCUCAUGUUUUUAAAUGUUUACUCACCAGAGAGUGGCAUUGUUAAAAAGGAUUAGAAGGAUUAGGAGCUCCGGCUUUGUGGGAGGAAGUGUGUCUCUGGAGGUGAGCUUUGAGGGUUCAAAAGCCCAUGCCAAACCCAGUGCCUUUCUUCCUGCCUACCAGUCAGGGUGUAGAACGCUAACGGACUAACAUCUGAAACUGUCAACAAGGCCCAAUUAAAUGCUUUCUUUUACAAGGGUCAUUUUGGUCAUGGUGUCUCUUGACAGCAGUAGGACAGUGACUGAGACACAAGGGUACUGAGGGUUCACAGGGAGGCAACAGAAACAAAAAAGGGGGUUGGGGAUUUAGCUCAGUUGUAGAGCACGUGCCUAGCAAGCGCAAGGCCCUGGGUUCGGCACCCAGCUCCGAAAAAAAGAAUAAAUAAAAAAAAGAAAGAAAGAAAGAAAGAAAGAAAAACAGACAAUCCAUGCAGAACAUAGGAGUCUUGAGAAUGUAAAGAAUAUUUCACCUUAGAGAAAAUCAGAGCAGAAAGAGCAGACUUUAAGAUGUAGCAGUGCCAGUACCUUGUUUUAAAUUUGUUUGUCAAUUUAUUUACCUCCCAAACGAUGCUCUCCUUCCUAGUCCCUUCCUCACAGAGUCCCUCGUCCCUCUCCUGUCUCCUCUGAGAGGGUGGGCUCCUUCCCCUGGGUAUUUCCCCACCCUGGCACAUCAAGUCUCUGCCAGAUUCGGUGCAUCCUCUCCCGCUGAGACCAGACAAGGCAGCCGUGAAGACUGAACUAUCUGUCUGCUACACAUGAGCCUGGGGCCUUAUUCCAGCCCAUACAUGUUCUUUGGUUGGUGGCUCAGAGAUUUGUUGAUUCUAUUUGUCUCCCUGUAGGGUUCUCAUCUACUUCAGGGCCUUCAACUCCUCCCCCAUCUCUUCCAUAAAUGUCCCCAACUUUGUUAAUGCCAACUGGGUAUCUGCAUCUGUUUCAUCCAGCUGCUGGGUAGAGCUGCUCUUUAGAACAGUUUCGCUAGGCUCCUGUCUGCAAGCAUAACACAUGGAGAGCCCUUGGUGCUGCUUCGAGGACAUUGGCAAGAAUAUUUACUUUGGUCAAGGAGGACAAGGAAGUACCUCAGAUAGGAAUGUUUACAUUGGGCUACUACAAGGCAUUGGCCCUUAUCUGGCUUCCGGCAGAAAGAAGACGACAAUGUAUCCGUUCCUCUCGACUUCACAGGGAUGGGAGUGACCAUCAGCAACAGACAAUGGACCCAGGACCCAGGACGACAGGGAUCUGAGAACUACAACUGAUUAUUGAGAAACAGCCCACAAAGCAAAGGGGGAAAGGAGAUGGAGUCCAGAGACCAGGUGGUGACAGCCUGUGACCUCCCACAUAUGGAGUAGAUGGUAGAAGACCAGUCGCUUUACCUGCCAUGAGCUGAGGGGUGACCAACUACAGAUAUUAACAUGAGCAGCCCCAGCAGACGUGAGCAGCGAUGGCAGAAACACCCAAGGCGUUGUCUGAGCUACGCGCAGUAGCUUCAAAAUGGCUAGAAGAAAAUAUUAUAUACAUAUAAAAUGUAUAAUAUAUAAUAUGUAAUCACAUAAUUAUUUAAAAUUAAAUAUUUGUAUAUAAAUGAAAUACAUGUAUAUUUAUAUGCUUAAAUAAAACCUAUUCAUAUAAGUA